GCGGGGACGGAUGAUGCAGAAGAGAAGGUUGAUGCUGCUCAAGCUUAAGUCAUCCGCAUCCAUUGUUGUCUUUUCCAACUUGCUUGGGGUAGUUAAAAUUUUAAUCUUUUGUGUCUUUUUGCGCCCUUUCUUUUUCUGAGAUUGUCAUUUAUAUUGGUUUUGAAUUCCGGCAAGCAUAAUAUGACACAUUGCUCGAGUAACUUUCACUUGUUAAAACGUUUUGCUAGCACAGCUGGUUAUGCUAUCA
rnacentral:misc_RNA from 1 species